AGGACCGGGUGACUGGCUGGAAGAGCAGCAGAUCCCUGAACAGCUCACUUCAAGCAGGACUGAGCCCAGGGAAGGCUGCCAAAGACCGGGUACUUGCUGGAAAAUCAGCAGCCCUGUGGACAGCUGAUGGCAGGCAAAUCUGAGUCCAGUUAAGGCUGCAGCAGACCAGGUGCCUAGCUGGCUGGACAGGGCUCGUCCUUGGAUGCUGUUGUCUGGAUCUUUCCAGCCAAGAAGUUCAGGAAAGGAUUGGUGAACAAGAACUCUGUUCUCAUAACUGGAACAAAGUACCACUUUUCUGCCCACUUGGGGGUAGGGGCACAGGUAGCUGGCCUAUGCCAUACAGCCCUUGCCGGUUCUAGUACGGCUUCAUUUACCAGGAGAGUGACCCGACUGUAGGAUAUCCAGGAGCUUAUGUUGAGAGUCCUGGACCUCUUCUCAUCAGAUUUGGAGCUCUUCUGCCAUUCUCUGUAACAGCUGUUGAAAUUGUCUAUGAUCAUCCAGGAGAGACCAUGAAGUUGGUGCAACAACCUCAUCAGCGCCACAAGUGCCUGGUGUUUUGCAGAUUGAUAAAGACAAGCCCCUGACCUGUAGAACCUGCAGUCUGAAUCUGACACAGCACAGCAAGGGAUGACAAAGAGCUAAGGAGCACGGGAAGACAGAGCCUUGAAGAGGUGGAAUCCCAGCGAUGACGGUUCAUUGUGUCUCCCUGGCUGGAACUUGAAGUUGCUCCCCAAUCCUGGCUGCUGGUUUAUCACUGUUCAGGCAGAACCAUGGCUGAAAACACAGAGGAUGCAUCUCCUCACUCUGCAGCAUGAAUCAAGUUGGGAGCAGUAUUCAUCUUGCAGACAGUAAGGUAUUUGAGUGAGGCAAGCCAAGGAGAAGAUGGCGUGGGUCAGCAGGACUCAGUACCACGAAGCCAGCCAAAAGCAGUGAUCAUGGAGAGGGGAGAAAGAAGGGUGUUGAUGUUUCUCCCCAUAUGUCACGUUAUCAGUCUUUAUGGAACGUGUUUGUACUGCCAAGAGCCAUGCUGAAAGUGCUGUAGGCUGCUGCACUCACACCUGAGGAGAGGAGUGGCUGACAGGUACAUUCCCCUAAAACUCAACCUCCACAGUUAUCUGGGCUGGACAUGGCUGGUGUGUGCUGUGCUGAAGCUUGACAAGGUGAGAUGGUGUCAUUUAGCUGUCCCAGGGGCAUCCCAGGAUGCAGGCUCGCAGUUCUUCCUGACAGACUGCACUGCAGAAGGGAGAUGGCAGGCUUGUGUCGAUAACUAGAGUCCUGCAGAAGCUGGGCCAUGCUCUCUGAGUCAGGAAGGUAUGUGAGAAGGGUCUGGGAUAGUUACCUGGACAUAAAUGCUGUGGCAUGAAUAAUGGGGAUAGGAGAGAAGGGAGUUUGUGCUCUCAUGAGGGAUAGUGGAAAAUUUUCCAUCACAACUGGUUUUUUGAUGGGAAAGUUGAGUUUUCAACUGACAGAAGUUUUUCACAAAAAAUAUCAGCUUUCCAUGGAAAACGUUGCCUUGUCAGCAAAACAUUGAUUCCGAAAUGUGGUGCCUCAUGGACAUUUUCAGCUUCCUUGUGCCUCCAUUCUUCCUUUAGGGCUAUGCUCCUCAGAAGGACUACAGUUCCCAUGCUGCACCAUGGCCAAAGGACUCCCACAAUGUACCAUGGCAUUUCAACAUGAGGGAUGACAUUAUCCGA